UCUCAUCAUACCCAUGUUCAAGAAAGGCAACUGAUGUAUGUUAUCGUGAAAUGGGCUUCCCUGGUGGCGCAGUGGUUGAGAGUCCGCCUGUCGAUGCAGGGGACAUGGGUUCGUGCCCCGGUCCGGGAAGAUCCCACAUGCCGCGGAGCGGCUGGGCCCGUGAGCCAUGGCCGCUGGGCCUUCGCGCCUGGAGCCUGUGUUCCGCAAUGGGAGAGGCCACAACAGUGAGAGGCCCGCGUACCGCAAAAUAAAAAAAAAAAAUUUACUUUGGUUCUCUUUUAAAAAUAAACUUUUAAUUUUGAGAUAAUUGUACAUUCACAUACAAUUGUAAGAAAUAAAAUAGAGAUCCUGUGUACCCUUCAUGGUGUUCUCCAGUGGCAACAUGUUGCAAAGCUAUAGUACAAGUAUUUAACAAAAAUAUUCAUAUUUAUACAAUCCAUCAAUCAUAUUCAGGUUUCCAAGUUUCAUAUAUAUGAAUUUGUGUGUGUGCAUGUGUAUAUUUACCUCAUGAAAUUUUACCACAUGCAUGUGUCCAUAUAUUUACCACUAAAUACACAAGAGAGUUUCACUACCACAGAGAUCCCUCAUGUUGCCCUUUUAGUCACACCCACCUCUCUCCUGUCCCCCUAAACUCACCUUUAACCCAUGUUAACCAUUACUAUUUUCUUCAUAAUUUUGUCACUUUAAAAAAUAUUAUAGAAGUGGAAUCAUAUAGUAUGUAACCUACUGGGAUUGGCUUUUUUCACUCAACGUAAUUUUCUGGAAAUUCGUCCAGGUUGUUGCUUUUAUCAAUAGUUCACUCUUUUUCAUUGCUGAGUUCCUAAUAUUGAACCAGCUUUGCAUAUGUGGAAUUAAUUCUACUCGGUCAUAAGGUAUCAUGCUAUUUAUACAUGGUUUGAUUUAAUUUGCCAAUUUGUUUGAGAAUUCUUGCUUGUAUCUUCAUGAGAGAUACUGGUAUAUAGUUUUACAGUUUUGUACUUCUGCUUUUGGCAUCAAGGUACAAUGGCCUCAUAAAAUAAAUUAGGAAAUGUUCCCUCUUCUGUUUUCUGUAAGAGACUGUAUAAAAUUAAUCCUUCUUCAAAUGUUUCAUAGAAGUUCUCAAAACACACACACACACACACACACACACACACACACACACUGAAGAAUAUCAGAACACUUACAUUUCAAAGACACAGGAAGAGAAAUGCAAGUUUCCCCUAGAAAGCCUUUUGUUUUUUUGAAGUCAGAAUUCUGAAAAGAUGUUUUUAUCAAGCCAGCUUUUUCUAACUUAACUGCAUAUGCAAUAAAAGAGUCCUAUCUUAGUCAUUUUUAGGGCAAGAUUUUCUUUAAGUCCCAAGUAAGUAAGCACUUGUAAAUGUAAAUUUUGUAUGGACAUAAACCUGGCCAGGAUAUCCAUUGGAGGCUGGAAAUCUGUUGUUCCUUUUUCUUUUGUAUUGAAAGCUAAGUUCCCCAUUCUGAGUUCAAUUUGUGAAGAUCACUUUUAUUUUGACAAACUCUAUUAAAGUAGCCAAUUCAAGGAAGACAGGUUAGUCUUCCACCUAAUUACCCAGUCCAACUUUUACUCAGUGUCUUUCACCUGAGCAAAGUCUCCCCAGUCUUUCAGCUGAGGAUAAACCACAGUGUCUAAACUGAGCAAGAUCUUUCCAGUGUCUUUUAAGUGAGGCUAACCCACUUGAGCAAAAGUCUUCCCAGUGUUUUUCUACUGAGGAUAAGCUCUCAGUGUUUAAACUGAGUAAAAAUCUUCCCAGUGUCUUUCACUGAGGAUGACCCAGGUACUUCUUCUUGAAACCAAGUUUCAAGGAUAACCUACUACUCAAGAGAAGAGUUUAACACCACUGAAUAAAACUUAGGAUCAUCAACCAAAACUGGAGAUCCAAGAACCAGGAGAUACUCACCCAAAUUCGUCUGGACUCUCUGAGAAAGCGGACAGGCCCAAGAAGCCUCUGCUGGUGCCAGGACUCUGGAUCCUCAUAGAGUUCAGGCAAAGAAGAAAAGUCUGCUCUGGGCCCCUUCAUUGGUUGCCAAGACUGCUGACUGAAAACUAUGCACAACCCAAAAGGAGAAUUAUGUUUUAUUUGGCAGAUUUUCUGAGGACUUAAGCCCAGAACACAGCCUGUCAGAUCACUCUGAGGAACUGCUCAGAAGACCUAAGGGAGGAGUCAACAAAAACCAGGUAGUCGGAACAUCGAAAGAUUACUAUUAAUUAAAGAAAACUAGACAUCUCAAGUUAAGGACUUUAGCACUUUUCUAUGUAUGAGAAGAUGAAAGAAUCUGGGCUCCGUGAAAUUAUUCCUUUGAUAUGCACCUUAACUCUAGAAUCAGUACCCUGUUUUUCUCCAUCCCGAAUCCCCUCAUGGUGCACAGUUGAGGGUUCCUGCUUUGACAUCUGACUUGAUGACUGCAACAUCCUUUGUCUACUGAUAUGGCAGGGAACAUUUUUCAUGCACGGGUAAGAAAUUGAGGAGAAAAUUAACAUAAUUCAAGAUAUAAAACCAUUACAAUAUUAAAAAUUCCCAAAUGUCAAACAAACAUAAGUACCCUUGACCUGUAAAAUGGAAGAUGCCAAAGAAGGGAAAAAAAGAAACAAUAAAGAAAAUGUAGAAAAUAAAGCAUAAAAUAAGAUGGCAGAAAUCAAUAACAGUAGAAUAAUUAAAUAAAUCAAGGUAAAUGUUAUCAUAAGAUUUUUAAAUUUCAAAAAAAAAACCCCAUCAAACAAAACAUAUUGAAAAUAAAGUAAUAGAGAAAAUUUAGAGAGCAAAUAUGAACGCAAAGAAGACCUGUUAGGUAGUUAGUCAGACAUUAACAGCAAGGAGGUGACAGUGGUGAGAAAGACAAGAAGAAGAAAUUGAGUCACACGCAGCCAUCUGGGGACUCUCCCUUGACUCCACCCAGAACGGGAGAAACUAUGGUCGGGUGGUGGGCAGCUUAUCCUGAUAAAGAGAGGCACAGUAACACAAGGGGACUUCUCCAGGCUGUGCAUGCCCAGAUGCCCAGACCAGACAGGCGUAUAACCUACAGUAAAUCCAAACUCAUUAUACAUUAAUUACAAUAAAUUACAUGUGGUUUUGCCCCUCCCCCCACCCAGUAGGCAUUUUUGGGGAUUCAAGGAUGAGAGCAUGCACAGCAGAAAACUUGUUACAUAGCUCAGGACUGUUAAUCAAAUAAUGAUCCUUGUCACUCACCCCCACCUCUCUGCAAAAUGCUCCUUAAAAGCGCUCUUAAGCCUUUAUAGGAAUGCUGCUUUCAAUUUGCAGAAGGAGUACACCCAUCCCAUCCACCCCCCCCCCCCCCCACCGAGAGUGUACCUUUGCUUCGAUAUAUUUUGCUUUGGGUUUGCUUCA